CGACGACGGCAUCGAUCACCUCGACGGCGAAGCGGCACCGGUUCUCGAGGUUGCCACCGUACUCGUCGGUGCGGUCGUUGGCGCUGUCCUUCAUGAACUGGUCGAGGAGGUAGCCGUGCGCGCCAUGGAUCUCCACGCCGUCGAACCCCGACUCGAUGGCGUUCCGCGCGGCUCGCCUGAAGUCGUCGACGAUCUGAGGGAUCUCGUCUGUCCGGAGCCGCCGGGGCUUGGAGUACACCAUGCCUGAAUCGUCCGGUGUGAUCUGCUUAUCGGUGCUCGAGAUCGGCGCCUGUCCAUUUGGCUGGAAAUCUGUCGAUUUCAUUUCGAAAUUUAAUUAAUCAACCAACGAGCACAAUUUGCAAUGACCUUUGAAAAAAAAUCAACCAACCACCAGCAAGUGGACGAACCUGUGGUGGAGACCCUGCCGACGUGCCAUAUCUGUAGGAAGAAGAGGGCGCCCUUGCGGUGGACGGCGUCGACGAUGGGUUUCCACGCUUCGAUCUGCUGCUGCGUGUAGAUGCCGGGGGUGUCCGGGUAGCCCUGCGCGGUGGGGGAGAUGACAGUGGCCUCCGCGAUGAGGAGUCCGCCGUUGGUGGCGCGCUGCGAGUAGUACACCGCGGCGUGCGGCUGCGGCACGUGGCCGUAGGAGCGGCACCGCGUCAGCGGCGCGAGCACCACCCGGUGGGACAGCUCCAGCUGCCCCAUCUUGUACGGCGUCAGCAGCGGGAUCGCCUCUUUCGCAGGUGCGUGCACCAUCUUGGCCUGGAGUGCGCACGCGAUUUCGUCAGGUAUAGACUGGUAGCCGCUUUUCUGUUCCCAACUGCUUCAGUUAGUGCAACAAACCAAGAAAAAGAAAAUCUAACAAAUGUAUGGGCAUUCACCUCACGAGCGCACACGAGGUAACGACGGCCUGGAUUCCUAUCCGUGCGUGAGGUUUUGAUUGCCACAGGAAAACGGCAGCAACACUUCAACACCGGCGGCGAAGACGCCAUGGAUGUUUGGAGGGAGAGUAGAGAGGAAGGUUGGGGAAAGAAGACGACAGUGCGUGUGGUUUGGGGAUGGAUGUGCUGGCCCUCUCUAUCACCAACACAAGAUCCUGGUACUAGAAAAGAUGUACUAGUUAUUGGGGCGGAGCUAGCACCAAAACUAAGGUGGUGCACUACCAUUGAAAACCUAUAAAACUUCAAUCGAAUACUGUGCAUUUCAGUGUUUUAAAGUGAGAAAUCUUGGCUUUAGGGGAGUUCCUGUGCAUCAGAUUAGCUGAACGUGGCUGACUAGUACUAUACCACCAACACGCAUGACGGGGACAGCGCGUGUGGUUUGGGGAUGGAUAUACUGCCACUCUAUCCCCACCAGCUAUUAGGACAGGUGUGGGUCCAGUUGACAUGACUAUACUUAGGCCGUGUUUAGUUUCAAAGUUUUCCUUUAAAUUUCUAACUUUUUCAUCAGAUCAAAACUUUCCUAAAUACAUAAACUUCCAACUUUUCCGUCACACCGUUUCAAUUUCAACCAAACUUUCAAUUUUGGCGUGAACUAAACACAGUCUUACAAAGGUUACAAAGGCCGUGUUUAUACCUUUGUCACAUCGAAGAUACGGACACAUAGAAGUAUUAAACGUAGUCUAAUAACAAAAAAAAAUACAUAAUCCGUCUAUAAACUGCAGCACCAUAUUGUUAAAUAUAUAGCAAUUAGGCUUAAAAGAUUCGUAUCGCAAUUUACACGCAAUCUGUGUAAUUAGUUUUUAUUUUUAUCUAUAUUUAAUACUUUAUACAUGCAUUCAAACAUUUGAUAUGACAGGGUGAAAAAACUUGCCAGAAGAUCUAAUCAGGCCUAAAGAAUACGGAACACAGAAAAUGAAUGAACGGUUGCAAUAGAUAUGGACUGGUAGAUGUAUGCACGAAUCUCCAAGUUGAGAAAAUUCCAUAUGUACCCUUGAAACUUCACCCAAUCCCUUCUAUUCUCCUGAGAUUUGUUUAUUUUCUUUCAUAUCCCUAAGUUUCAAUUUGGAUCCCUUCUAUACCCCUUUCAUCAGUUGACUAUUAUUUGACCGUUAAAUUUCUAUCAUAAAGUUCAUUUUUCUUUUUGGUAUCAAGAAAAUAUAAAUUUAUGAAGUAUAUUGAUAAAGUGUAUACUGAUAUGAAUUAGGAGCCAUACUGCUCCAAACACCAAAGUAGACAAGCAGCUCUUUUUACGACAUAUGUGGCAAAAAGAAUUUAUUUCAUAAUUUAAUUUGACAGUUCGUGUAUAACACCAUUGUUAUUCAUGCUUGGCGCCCUUUAGGAAAUGACACAGGUAGAUGGAAGUGAUAAUUUCUUUUUAAGUUUUGAAUCGAUUUAUGGUAUAGAGUUAACAUAAUUUGUUUAUGGCGUUGAUCGGUCAACUAAAUUUUAGCGGUACACAUAGAUACGCUGGGGAGGAGGGAAGGAGGGUUGGGGAGGAGAGGGAUGCCAGGAAGGAGGGAUAGAGUGUAGGGGAGAAGAGGGGUGCUAAUAGAAGAGGGCUGCCAAGUAGGGAGGAGGGACGACAUGGAUGAGGUCCGUACGUCAACAGGGAAGAGAGAGCCGCAGGUGGGGAUGGAGCGCGCAUGCGGCGGGGCAAGCGAUCGGAAUCAGAACCGAGAACCGAGAUGGAUAGGGAGAGUUGGGCGGACUAAUAUUUUGUUGGAAGCAGAUUUUAUUUUUUAAAUAGGCAAAGAUUGAUCCUUUAAAAAAACUUGUUUUGAAAAAACAUCAUGAUAAAAACUAAUUACAGAAAUAGGCAUCUGCUUUAGCACCAACCUCAAUGACACUGAGCUAUAGCCUGGGACGAACCCAAGGGGUGCCGGGUAUGCACUACCCAAAAAUUUUGAAAAAAAAACACUAGGGUGUGGCGUGGAAUCAUGGCAAGGAUGGUAGCGAGAAAGCAUUAAAAUAGAAUCCCCUCGAUGAAUAGAGCACAAUGGUGAUCACAGUUUGUCCGGAGGUCAAAUCAGGAUAAGAAGAAAGGACUGAAGGAAGAACCAAGAAGAAGAAUGGCUAGGUAGCUUAGGGCAUGAUGGCUUUCGUUGGAUGGUAUCACUAGGAGUUCACCUUACUAAUUCAUUGUGCAUCCACGAUGUCGUGCAGCUGUGCGCAUUAAAAUAACCGAUCAGAUCAAGAGUGGACUGAAACUCGAUGGUAAUAAGAAGAUGAACCUUUAGAGACUAUACAACUAUCUUAACUGACAACGGGUUGCGGCAAGGGACGAAGCAUGAGUGGACUGCUUUUUCUUCCCCUGAAUUUUACAGAUUUUUCACGAAUUCUGAACCACAGUUUGAUUAUUUUUUUGAAAAAUUAAAUCAAAAUUUGCCAAAAUUUUGCUACCAAACCUUGAUGUUUUCUUUUUAAAAGAUAGAGGGGAGUGAUCCCUAAUAGACACACUCAACGUGAAUUUCCUUAGUCCUCCACUACCUGCAAUGUCUCGGCACUAGUAAGUUUGGAGUUGAGCUCUUAUUCAAGGUGGUACAAAUUUGCCAGGAACCAAAGUACCACUGCCACUGACAUUGACCUCUUUAUUGCUAAAAAUAGUGUGCAUUCCCUCUUUUACAGCAAAGCAAGGCUAGUGCAGUGGUGGAGGUCUUCAGUCCCAAGUCCAUGGUUUGCUUCCGUGAUCCUUCAUACUUGCUUUUUUUUUUCCAUUUCACUCAACACUUUUUAAUUAGUAGAGUGCUCAGGGCCAAUGAUAUUGAUGCUAAACUCUGAUGACAUGGUAUACUCGUGCCACCACUAGUAGAUAGCUCAACACAAUGGCAUUGGCACUAAACUCCGAUGACAUGAUAAACUCGUGCCACCUUGGACAAUGUGCUCAUCUUCAAUGACAUUGUAAACUUGUGCCGUCUUAGACAAGAGCUCAAAGCUAAGCAUUGGUAUUGAGAUGUUAUAGCUCAACGCAGUGGCGAAUCUAGCAUAUAAGUUAAGAAGAUGCUGGUGUAAAAAUAUAGUAUGACUGAAACAACCCGGUGUGAUCAUGGGUGCUCUGUGAUAGGUGUGUCGAGCUACAUACUCUAACACAGUAGGAUUAGCACUAUAAUGAUGAUAGGAAAAGGAAUACAUCGAUUUUUUUAAAAGUAAUAUGAUUUUAAUGGAAAAUCGCAAAACUAUAGAUCAGUUUGAUGAAAUCGCAAGUUUAGCACCCUAUCGAACAAUCACGGUUCGAUAGGGGUACCUAUCGAACAACUACAACUACAGUUCGACAGGUACAUGUCGAACUGUUUUAGUUCGACAGGGUAGUUCGUCCAAAAACAAAUAAAAAAGUACAUGAACAGUAUCACUACAGUGCUAGACAGGGACAUAUCGAACUGCCAAAGUUCGAGAGGGGUUGCGUGAACAGCGCGCUAUAGUGAUGCUACAGUGCUCGCAGGCACAUAUCGAACUGCCUAGGUUCGAUAGGGUAUUGUGAACAGCGUGCUACAGUGAUUUUUCCUUUUUUAAUUUUUUUUAAUCACCUGUCGAACUGCCGCAGGUACCCUAUCGAAUUGUAGUUGUUCGAUAGGUAUCCUGUCGAACCACGGUUGUUCGAUAGGGUGCUAAACUUGCGAUUUCAUCUAACCGACCUAGACUUUUACGAUUUUCCAUUAAAAUCGUAUUAUUUUCAAAAAAAAAAUUCGAAUACAUCUUUCUCGAACAAUAUCAAUAUUACAUUAGCUCAUUAAUCUCGAAUCAACAGCUACAAACUUACAACAAAAAAAUGUAUUCAUGCUUGUCCGUAUCACAUGAUAAGUGUUACAUUAUUAAUCCAAAUAAUAGGCUAAAAUUGGAUUAUUUAGGUGACAAUUAAGCAUAAGUAGUUCUUGACUCCUCAUCAAUCUCCUCAAGAAAAGGGUAAUCUGUAUAGCCAACAACGGGAUCCUGUGUAUAAAAGGUAGACCUGUCAUACCUGUUCAAUGGUGCGUCAAGCUCAAACCUCCUCGGCAAGUCAGGGUUAGCCAAGAAGAGCCUCCCAUAGGCGACGAGAUCGGCAUAGCCAUCAGCCACCACCUUGUUCCCUUCCUCCCGGUCAUACCCGCCAGCAGCGAUGAAAGUGCCAUUGAACUGCUUCCUGAAUGGUAGGAGGCCAUGGGCGAUCUUCCUUCGUCCUUCGAUUAUGGCCAUUCUUGGCUCCACCAUGUGGCAGUAGAGAAACCCUGGGUGCUUGUUGAGUUGCUGCACCAUGUAUGAGCCGAGAGCCACCGGGUCGGAGUCGAAGCAGUCCAUGAAGUCGACGAACGGCGAUAAUCUGAUUCCGACACGGUGAGCUCCCACCUCGGCGACGACGGCGUCGAUCACCUCGACGGCGAAGCGGCACCGGUUCUCGAGGCUGCCACCGUACUCGUCGGUGCGGUCGUUGGCGCUGUCCUUCAUGAACUGCUCCAGGAGGUAGCCGUGCGCGCCAUGAAUCUCCACGCCGUCGAACCCCGCCUCGAUGGCGUUCCGCGCGGCUCGCCUGAAGUCGUCGAUGAUCUGAGGGAUCUCAUCC
rnacentral:lncRNA from 1 species